rnacentral:tRNA from 2 species
ACCCGUCUAGCUUAGUCGGUAGAGCGCUGGCCUUUUAAGCCAGUGGUCGUGGGUUUGAGCCCCACGGGGGGUG